UACGUAGGGGGCAAGCGUUGUCCGGAUUUAUUGGGCGUAAAGCGCGUGUAGGCGGUUUUUCAAGUCCGCUGUGAAAACUCGAGGCUCAACCUCGAGCUGUCGGUGGAAACUGUAAGGCUAGAGUCCGGAAGAGGAGAGUGGAAUUCCUGGUGUAGCGGUGAAAUGCGCAGAUAUCAGGAAGAACACCCGUGGCGAAGGCGGCUCUCUGGGACGGUACUGACGCUGAGACGCGAAAGCGUGGGGAGCAAACAGG
rnacentral:rRNA from 1 species